AAUUUGAACAAAAAUAAUCAAUAAGUUGGGUAAUGCUUCACAUUGAUUGAAGCUUGACGAGGAUUUAGUGAAAUGUUCACCGUAAGCUCAGGAGUUGCUUCAUUGUUAGCUUUAGCUUACUUGUAAAGCAAAGCGACGCGUUUCUACUUUCAACUUAAACUAUUACAAAGUGACUAAACGUGCAAUAGGUAGAGGUGGAGAUCGAGCCGUAAGGAUCCACCACCGUCUGGGCGCAGCGCACCACCGUCACCAGGAGAAAGAAACACAGCAGGAAGAGGAAGAAGAGCGCAAACCCGAGGUCCACAUCCACCUCGAAGGGCGGUGCCUGGUACGGAGGCUGGUCCAUGUGGACGAUGCUGAUUCUUCUCAGAUGAGCUCUCUCACCUCAAGUCCGGGGUUAUGUUCAGCUGAGAUGAAAAAAACAUAGGAAGGUGGUUAGAAUAAUAAAAUUCUUCCUAAUAAAAGCACAGAAUGUCUUUUUCUGUCAUCCUAAAUUGCUACCCUGAAAAUUUUAGCAGUUGAAGUAUUUUUUUUUCAGUUUCUAAUUUAGUUCCUGAUCUAAUCUACGUGAUCAAUGAGCUUGUCUAAAACUGAUCAGAUUACUGUGUGAAUAUCUUAUCACUGCAACUGCGUCUAUCUGCUGAUAUAAAUCCAUGAAAUUCAAGCAGAGAGACAAGAGAAGAUCAUCUUCACAGUCGAGUUUUAUGUCAUGUGGGCAAAACAGAGCCGUCAUUUGUUAGAAAAUACACCUUAUCUCUGUUUCACUGAGGGAAAAGUACAAAAAUAAAACAUCAGGCAUUAAAUCUGAGGAAUUUGUUAUUUUAAAAGCAAUGUCUCAUUGUUUUUGGACAAUCACAGAAACAUAAUUAAUAAAGAUAUUGAUAGAGCUAUUCCUGCUAUAAACUAAAUUAACUCCGUCUUAUUGUUCAGUAGAAAGUAUUCCUCACUCAGUGUUUCUUUCCUCAGCUCUGCCAAAGUGAUCUGCUUUAUUUACCCCUUUACAGAUUUCUCCUGUCUUAGCUUUUUAAUUUUUUUUUUAUCCUACUGAUAUUACCACAGAGGACUUUAGGCCCACUUUUCUUUUCAGUAUUACUUAAAUUAAGUCACAACAUCUCAAUCAAUCAAUUAAAAUCUUAAAUUUUUCGUUUUUAUUUAAGCAGAACCUUACACCUAAUACAUAAAACAAACAAAACACCUUUUGGCUGCUUUUCUGGUUACUGCUCUCCAUGUCCAGCCUGAAUUAAAAGUUUUGGCAGGUUUGAAGUGUCACACAGGUGGAUACUGUUUACUUAUUCACUGACCAUUUGGCUGAGAAACCAAACACAAAUUAUUUAUUUUUUUUUUGCAAAAAAGAAAGAAAGAAGUUUUAAUACAAUGCAAUUAUAGUCAAAGUGCUUUACUUUACAAGAGAGCAACAUUCACACACGGCUCGACAUGUCAUUAUUUGCUGCUAUGCGUUAGUCUAUUUUAUAAAAGAUAAUAUUCUAUUAAUUAAUGCAUGUUUAUGGUUUGCACCCAAGUCUGGAAAUGUUGUGAACACGUUUGAAAAACGUUGUGUACCACCAUGAUUUGAUUUUUAACAAGGGCAAUCUAUGCAUAAUUACCUAAUAAUAUAUUUGUGUUUCAGAGUUGAAAGUAGAUAAUCUUUAAGUGAAAAGUUUAAAGUUUUGCAAAAACAAAAUUUUCUAUACAACAAACACGGCAGCAAAGAACCUCCCAGGUUUUUACAGCUCAGAGAGUUUCUGGGUUUAAAAUAAAAAAAACUAAUUAUAUAUAUAUAUACAUACAUGUUGUCCUGAUAAAAUUAAAGUUUGCAUUGUUUAUUAAAAAAAUAUUAAUUUGGCCCUGUAAUAGGUUUCCUGAUACAGCUAUGCUUUAUGUGAGAUGAAUGAGCUUUAAAAGUUUUGAAAAGUCAUUUGAGUUUGACUAAACAGAAACAAAACCUAUAAAUAACAAAACGCCAUUUAUUUUAGUUCUAGCAUCAACUCUGGGAAAUGUCAAAGCCAGUAACUCACCAUCCUGGAAGCAUUGUCAUCUGGGUUUUGUUUGCCGAGGAGCCAAAAGCCCAAACCUUCCAAUAGCUGUCAUAGUUAAACGCUUAUCGCAUCAGAACUCUGUGUUGCUCCAAGGUUUCCUUAUUAACGAGGCUACACUAGACAGUAAUCUGCUACCAAAGCCUUUACUGUCCUCCUCUUGCAAUAUCAUUACAGGGAAAAUGAGCAGCCCACAAAUUAGCUCCUGCACUCAGGAGAUGCAUGGAUCCAAGAUACACAAGCGUGCACUCACACCUCGCGACCUCCCCCCGGGUGUAAAGCCUUUAUUAAUACUUAAGCAGGAAUUGAAUAACGGUCUACACAGUUCACAAGUGGAUCAAACACCCCCCUGCUUUUGUUCUCCUGUCGGGAGACCUUUGGUUGGACUUCACACCGUCCUGGCUCACGCUUCACAAAUGUAAGAAGAAGAAGAAAUUAGGAGAAAGAAGAGGCAAAGUUAGGAGGAAGCAGGAAAACUGGACACAGAAAAUCCAGAGAAACUGGAGCCGCAUUAGCAAUUAAAUUGCAGAGCCAGAUGCUGGAGCAGGGUGGAAAUUGACCCCGCUGCUUUAAAAUGGAGAUUGUUGCAUUGAGGCUGUCUGGUGGCAGGAACAGUGUGGAGGAUAAAGUGGAGCACAGGAUGGUAAAGUGAUCCCGCUCCAUAUGCAAUUAGAUGAGGAGGACUUCAAGCCUGCAGCCAAAAUACAGUAGAGGGUGGGGAAAAAAACUAGGAGUAGUUUUCUUUAAAAAAAGCUAAAACUUUCCACCAGUAAUCCAUUGAGAAUCAUAAAAAAUGCAAUCAUGGCCAAAUCUUCAAUAUUUUGAGCCGUUGUCUUUUGACUAAUAAAUAAUGUGUUUUUUUAUUACCCCAGAUUCCUCAGAUUUAUACAAAGAGUCAAAAAUUACAGUGUUAAACAAAUUCUGAUGGAUAGUGACCUUUUUUACCUCAUUAGUAUUUAGGUCAGGAUUUAUUUAAAAAAGCUAAUCCACCUGCUUUUUGAAAGUUUCAUAUUUUGAAAGUAUAAAAUGAAGCACAAAAAUGUUACGGCAAUAUGAUCCUUUCUUUUUUGUACCUUAACUACUUCUAACAUAUUAUUAGAGCAGGUAUCACAUUACAAAUAUUAGUUAUUUCAUGCAAAACUUAAAUCACAUCUUGCAUUUACCCAACCAGUCAUAUUGUCUACAAAAUACAAAGAAAACACAAAACAAUCCUCAAUGAAAUGUUUCAGUUUAGAAAUAAAAUCUAUUAAAACAUUUCAACAUCAUCUUCAGAAAUAAAUACAACAAAAAAAGAUGUUUUUCUCACAAAUUUAUAUCAUCCAUGUUAGAAAUGUACAACUCAGGAAGAAUAAAAAGACUUCAGCAAAAGCAAAGUUAACAGAGAGCUGCAUGUGAUUGGUCAAGAAGGCAUUCAAGAAGAAGAUUUUGAAAUGAUGAAGGUACUCGCAAAUAACGUCUUAGAAAAUGUAAACAACAAUUUGGCGUUACAUUUUGUUUUUUUUUACAUCUUUACUCACUAACAUCUUUCUUUGUUCCUAGCUAAACCAAAAACCCUGUCAAAACAAAUGAAUAUUCACGUGAAUAAUUAUAUAAAAAAAAGGGUUGAAAUUAUUUUUUGAACCUCCAAACAAAUAAUGAUUUGAAAUCUGAAACAAACACUGUAACUAAAAUGAUUCACUAGUUUUUCAGUCAAUCCUGAUCCUCUAAAGAACCAUAAAGUGCAUCUCAAGAUGACUGAGACAUAAAUAAUAAUAAUAAUAAUAAAAAGAAAUAUACUAAAUGGAUAUGCUUUGGAUUAUUCCAGCCAGAAAAGAAUCAACAUUUACUGAUCAACUUAAUCAAACGCUUUGCUCCCAAAUUUAAACUUUUUGGCUGCACUAAAAGAAAUAAACGAUGAAAGAAAGGUGAUAAAACUUAAAAGAUUUUAAACAAAACAAACAUUUAAAACAAGCCAUCUCUCAGAAAAGCAAGUAUUUAAAGACACAUUUCUCCAAAGGCACUUUUCAGUUUGUAUGGCAGGCUAGGCACGUUCACUCACACUAUUUAAUUAUUAUUGUUAUUUAGCAAUUGUUUCGUCUUUAACCUCGCAACGUUUAACCCAAAAGAGCUAGAGCGGCAGAAAUGCAGCAGAAAUGUUUUUUUUGUAAUUGAAUAAAACGUUGGACUUAAGGGGAUUUAUGGUCCAUAGGAGAAAAAAAAAAA